UCAUUACCGAGUUUACAACUCCCAAACCCCCAAUGUGAACGUUACCAAACUGUUGCCUCGGCGGGAUUUCUGCCCCGGGCGCGUCGCAGCCCCGGACCAAGGCGCCCGCCGGAGGACCAAUUUACAAACUCUUUUGUAUAUCCCAUCGCGGAUUCUUUACAUUCUGAGCUUUCUCGGCGCUCCUAGCGAGCGUUUCGAAAAUGAAUCAAAACUUUCAACAACGGAUCUCUUGGUUCUGGCAUCGAUGAAGAACGCAGCGAAAUGCGAUAAGUAAUGUGAAUUGCAGAAUUCAGUGAAUCAUCGAAUCUUUGAACGCACAUUGCGCCCGCGCAGUAUUCUGGCGGGCAUGCCUGUCCGAGCGUCAUUUCAACCCUCGAACCCCUCCGGGGGGUCGGCGUUGGGGAUCGGCACUUACCUGCCGGCCCCGAAAUACAGUGGCGGUCUCGCCGCAGCCUCUCCUGCGCAGUAGUUUGCACACUCGCACCGGGAGCGCGGCGCGUCCACGGCCGUAAAACAACCCAAACUUCUGAAAUGUGACCUCGGAUCAGGUAGGAAUACCCGCGAACUAACCGC
rnacentral:rRNA from 1 species